AGAAACUCUCAUUCUGUCAUCAAGGCUCGAGUACAGUGGUGUGAACUCAGCUCACUGCAAGUCUCAACCUCCUGGGCUCAGCUCCUAAGACACACUAGCCACAUAUCAAGUGCUCAACUGCCCCGUGUGGCUAAUGGCUUCCAAACUGGCAGCACAGGCAACUGUUUUCAUCACUGAAGUUCUGUUGGACAAGAAUACCUCUGGAAGCACACACGAGAAACUGGUAAUGGCGGUUGCCUUCGGGGAGGGAAACUGGGAGAGUGCAGGGCUGUAUGCCCUUUUGUACCUCUUGAAUUUCAUAUCAUGUGUUUGUACUAGGUGUUUACAAAUUAUUUUAAAAACAUACUGGGAAUUAGGAAUCCCCGUAUGGAAUCACUGCAGUGGGACACUGAUUCCCAAAAAAUUACUUUGCAAUUUGCCUAAAACAAAUUAAGCUAAUAGCUAUCAUGAUUUCAUAUUUAAUAUUUUUUCCCAGCUUAGAGUUUUUUUUAGCUCCUGUUGCUAUCUCUCUGCUCUUAUGAGCUCACAGGGUGACAAAGUGAAUUAGUAAGUAGCAGGAGAACAUUAAAGGAAAAACUCCUGGGCAACAGGGUAAAACGCCGGCUCUACAGAAAAUACAAAACAUUAGCCAGGCAUGGUGGCAUGCACCUAUGGUCUUAGCGACUUGGGAGGCUGAGGUGGGAGGAUCGCUUGAGCCCGGAAGGCGGUAACUCAAUCCCAGCAGAAUCCCAGGGAGCGAAAGUGGCUCAUCCCAAA